rnacentral:rRNA from 1 species
GAUGAACGCUGGCGGCGUGCCUAAUACAUGCAAGUCGAGCGAACGGACGAGACGCUUGCUUCUCUGAUGUUAGCGGCGGACGGGUGAGUAACACGUGGAUAACCUACCUAUAAGACUGGGAUAACUUCGGGAAACCGGAGCUAAUACCGGAUAAUAUUUUGAACCGCAUGGUUCAAAAGUGAAAGACGUUCUUGCUGUCCCUUAUAGAUGGAUCCGCGCUGCAUUAGCUAGUUGGUAAGGUAACGGCUUACCAAGGCAACGAUGCAUAGCCGACCUGAGAGGGUGAUCGGCCACACUGGAACUGAGACACGGUCCAGACUCCUACGGGAGGCAGCAGUAGGGAAUCUUCCGCAAUGGGCGAAAGCCUGACGGAGCAACGCCGCGUGAGUGAUGAAGGUCUUCGGAUCGUAAAACUCUGUUAGUAGGGAAGAACAUAUGUGUAAGUAACUGUGCACAUCUUGACGGUACCUAAUCAGAAAGCCACGGCUAACUACGUG